rnacentral:rRNA from 1 species
UACGAAGGGGGCUAGCGUUGCUCGGAAUCACUGGGCGUAAAGCGCACGUAGGCGGACUCUUAAGUCAGGGGUGAAAUCCUGGAGCUCAACUCCAGAACUGCCUUUGAUACUGGGAGCCUUGAGUUCGGGAGAGGUGAGUGGAACUGCGAGUGUAGAGGUGAAAUUCGUAGAUAUUCGCAAGAACGCCAGUGGCGAAGGCGGCUCACUGGCCCGAUACUGACGCUGAGGUGCGAAAGCGUGGGGAGCGAACAGG